rnacentral:rRNA from 1 species
UACGGAGGGGGCAAGCGUUAUCCGGAUUCAUUGGGUUUAAAGGGUGCGCAGGCGGGUAGGUAAGUCAGUGGUGAAAUCUCCGGGCUCAACCCGGAAACUGCCAUUGAUACUACUUAUCUUGAGUGUGGUUGACGUAGGCGGAAUAUGUCAUGUAGCGGUGAAAUGCUUAGAUAUGACAUAGAACACCAAUCGCGAAGGCAGCUUACGAAACCAUUACUGACGCUCAGGCACGAAAGCGUGGGGAACAAACAGG